UGCCAAAGGAAUCAAUGUGAGCUAGGAUGCC
rnacentral:piRNA from 2 species